GAUGAACGCUGGCGGCGUGCCUAAUACAUGCAAGUCGAGCGAACAGACGAGGAGCUUGCUCCUCUGACGUUAGCGGCGGACGGGUGAGUAACACGUGGAUAACCUACCUAUAAGACUGGGAUAACUUCGGGAAACCGGAGCUAAUACCGGAUAAUAUAUUGAACCGCAUGGUUCAAUAGUGAAAGACGGUUUUGCUGUCACUUAUAGAUGGAUCCGCGCCGGAUUAGCUAGUUGGUAAGGUAACGGCUUACCAAGGCAACGAUGCGUAGCCGACCUGAGAGGGUGAUCGGCCACACUGGAACUGAGACACGGUCCAGACUCCUACGGGAGGCAGCAGUAGGGAAUCUUCCGCAAUGGGCGAAAGCCUGACGGAGCAACGCCGCGUGAGUGAUGAAGGUCUUCGGAUCGUAAAACUCUGUUAUUAGGGAAGAACAAAUGUGUAAGUAACUAUGCCCGUCUUGACGGUACCUAAUCAGAAAGCCACGGCUAACUACGUG
rnacentral:rRNA from 1 species